CCCUGAAUCAACAAUAUAUUAAUUAAUCCCCUGCCAAGAACUGAGGAUGGAAAGACGACAAAAAGGGAAAAAAAAUACUUUCCUUGUCUUCAGAGAACUUUGCAAUCAAACAGGCAUGAUAACCGGUACACGUGUACAUCUACACCAAUGAAAGAUGAAGUAAUUUGUGGUAAAGGAGCACUAGCUGGAAGUGGUGGUGGAGCAGAUGAAGUUUAUUAUCUGGGAAAGAGGGAGACGAGAGAGAAUUUGAAUUGCAAAAGAUCAGAAAAAGAAUCAGAACUGAUUUGAACAAGUUGUGGCAUAUGAUUGUGAUGGGAAACUAUCGUACUGUAAGAAAUGACCAGGAAGAUGGUUUUGGAAGGGAAAAAAAUGACAAAACCUUUAUGAAUGAUGAAAAGUAAAGAACCAGGGAGAUCGUUGUGCAUGGUAACAGCAAUGUUGUAAUGAUGAUCAACACUGAAAUGUUUGUCUACUCUGACCAAUAC
rnacentral:lncRNA from 1 species